AGUUUUUCAGUGAAGAAAAGAGUAAAAUUUGGACCGAUAAAAGAAAAGCUUUGGUAAACUAAAUUUGGGACAUUGUGGGCUUAUGCAGUAAUGGAUACACUGUCACUGAUGUAACACUGUUCGACUGCUGGGCUACAUAAAGUAUUCUUGUCAUUUUGGCAGUCUCGGCGAGAAGAGAGGCAAAAGAAAUAAAUUGCGCGCUUGAUUCGGCAGAUUGCUUUAUAGAUAGGCGUUGGUUGUUAAAGACCACCUCCAGCAAGGAGCAAUUCCAGACGGACUGCUGUAUAGACGUAGCAGUAGAAGAAAGGAGUUCGUUUUUAUGGUAUGUUCGUUUAGUUAAUUUCACAAACGGUUUGUACUCCAUUUGUAAACAUAGUGGACCUCUUCCAAUCCAUUGCAUCUAUCUUUCUUUUGCCCACGCGGAGAGAAAGGAAUCCGUUAAUCUCUGUCACCCACUCACGCUUGUUUGUAGGCAUCGAUUGAUCAUUCUUCUUUUGAGCUUCCUUCUGUUUUCUACCAUCAGUAGAUAUGAGGCACAUGAUGAGAGUAAGAUCUUCUAACUUUUCCAUCUUCUCAAUUUUGCUUCGAAGCCAUUGUAGUAGUUCCAUCUCUUCUUGUGCUGUUGUUAAGCCCAUCACUGCUGUUCUUUUUAACCUGAGCCCUUCUACCACCAACACUUUUUCAGCUAUGGAACUUCACUUCAAAUUUUUGUCGUCUUCUACUGCUUUUCCAAACUCAAAAUAUGCGCCUUCAAUAGAAACCCAAGAAGAUGCUAUUAGUGAUGGCGAUGAUAACGACAAUGAUGAAGACUAUGAAGAUGAUGAAACCCACUUUAGAGGAUUGAAUUUGGAAGAUGAGGGUCUCGCCCGAGACAUUACCGCAAUUGUGGAUAUCUUACGUCAACUGGGAAGCAGUCCGUCUGAGACAAAAUACAAGCUUCACCAUAGCGGGAUUAGCGCCUCAUCAGAAUUGGUGGUUGGGGUGUUGCCACGGGUCCGCAACGAUUGGGAAGCAGCAUUCACGUUCUUUCUGUGGGCUGGCAAGCAGCCGGGUUACGCUCAUUCUGUGCGUGAAUACCAUUCCAUGAUCUCUAUUCUUGCGAAAAUGAGGAAGUUCGACACUGCGUGGGCCUUGAUUGAUGAAAUGAAAGGGGGUACCACUGGUCUAUCUCUUGUGACUCCUCAGACUCUCUUGAUCAUGAUUAGGAGAUAUUGUGCUGUACACGACGUGGGGAAGGCUAUAAAUACUUUCUACGCCUUCAAACGGUUUAAGUUUGAAGUUGGGAUCAAUGAAUUUCAAGGCCUUCUCUCUGCCCUUUGCCGGUACAAGAAUGCAAAAGACGCUGAGCACUUGCUCUUCUGCAAUAAGAAUGUGUUCCCCUUUAAUACCAAGAGCUUUAACAUUAUCCUCAAUGGAUGGUGUAAUGUGAUUGUUAGUCCCCGAGAGGGAGAAAGAAUUUGGAGGGAGAUGGGAAAGAGAGGCGUCCAACAUGAUGUUUUCUCGUACGGAAGUCUCAUAUCUUGUUACUCAAAAGCAUGUAAUCUGAAUAAGGUGCUCAAGCUCUUUAACCGGAUGAAGAAAUUGAACAUUACAACGGAUAGGAAAGUUUACAAUGCUGUCAUUCAUGCUCUUGCAAAAGGUAGGCUUGUCAAAGAAGCUAUCAAUCUCAUGAAAACGAUGGAAGAGAAGGGAGUCGCUCCAAACAUUGUCACUUAUAACUCACUGAUCAAGCCUCUUUGUAGGGCCCGGCAAAUAGAAGAAGCUAGAGAAGUAUUUGAUAAGAUGUUGCACCAGGGCCUCUCCCCUACGAUUCGGACUUACCAUGCCUUCCUCCGUACUUUAAGGACUGGGGAAGAAGUGUUUGUGCUCUUGGAAAAGAUGAAAAAGAUGGGCUGCCACCCAAAUACUGAUACCUACAUAAUGUUGAUUAGGAAAUUUUGUCGAUGGCGCCAGCUUGAUAAUGUCUUCAAGUUGUGGAGCGAGAUGAGUCAGAAUGGAGUCAACCCUGAUCGAAGCUCAUAUAUUGUGCUCAUACAUGGGCUAUUUUUGAAUGGAAAGUUGGAGGAGGCGCAUAAAUAUUAUAUAGAGAUGAAAGAGAAAGAGUUAAUGCCAGAACCAAAGACAGAAAAGAUGCUUCAGGCUUGGCUGUCUGGUAAGUAUACAUCAGAGUGUCAGAUGACAGAUUUAGAGUGCAAUCAAUUAAAUUGUAGUCAAUCGGGCAAGAAUAGCAGAGCCAUAUCCAGGAGAGUUGAUCAGGGAAGGGAUUUUUGCCGCCAACCUGAAACUAGAAGAGUUGUAAGAGACCGGGGCUUUUCUUUUUGGGACCAGUAGCUUCUCAUGUGAUGAGAAGUCUCAACAGUUUGAGGUUUGUCUAUAAACAUGACUGGGUAGUUACUACCGACCUCCAGCAUUGAGUUGCCCAAGAACUUCAUGCAGCAAGAGAGACUUGUUUGCAAUAUCUUUAUGUGUUAUUGAUGCUGAUCAUAACCUAUGUGGAUUCGAGAGGGUGUUUGGCUGAUUGGAGCUUUACUUCUGUUCAUGGACUUCGUUAACUUUAGUUUAAUCAGCUUCUACCUACUGCCCUGGUCUGGUAGCAUUUAAAGUUGA